AGAGUUUGAUCCUGGCUCAGAGUGAACGCUGGCGGCGUGCCUAAUACAUGCAAGUCGAACGAUGAAAUUUCUAGCUUGCUAGAAAUGGAUUAGUGGCGCACGGGUGAGUAACGCAUAGGUUAUGUGCCUCUUAGUUUGGGAUAGCCAUUGGAAACGAUGAUUAAUACCAGAUACUCCCUACGGGGGAAAGAUUUAUCGCUAAGAGAUCAGCCUAUGUCCUAUCAGCUUGUUGGUAAGGUAAUGGCUUACCAAGGCUAUGACGGGUAUCCGGCCUGAGAGGGUGAACGGACACACUGGAACUGAGACACGGUCCAGACUCCUACGGGAGGCAGCAGUAGGGAAUAUUGCUCAAUGGGGGAAACCCUGAAGCAGCAACGCCGCGUGGAGGAUGAAGGUUUUAGGAUUGUAAACUCCUUUUGUUAGAGAAGAUAAUGACGGUAUCUAACGAAUAAGCACCGGCUAACUCCGUGCCAGCAGCCGCGGUAAUACGGAGGGUGCAAGCGUUACUCGGAAUCACUGGGCGUAAAGAGCGCGUAGGCGGGAUAGUCAGUCAGGUGUGAAAUCCUAUGGCUUAACCAUAGAACUGCAUUUGAAACUACUAUUCUAGAGUGUGGGAGAGGUAGGUGGAAUUCUUGGUGUAGGGGUAAAAUCCGUAGAGAUCAAGAGGAAUACUCAUUGCGAAGGCGACCUGCUGGAACAUUACUGACGCUGAUUGCGCGAAAGCGUGGGGAGCAAACAGGAUUAGAUACCCUGGUAGUCCACGCCCUAAACGAUGGAUGCUAGUUGUUGGAGGGCUUAGUCUUUCCAGUAAUGCAGCUAACGCAUUAAGCAUCCCGCCUGGGGAGUACGGUCGCAAGAUUAAAACUCAAAGGAAUAGACGGGGACCCGCACAAGCGGUGGAGCAUGUGGUUUAAUUCGAAGAUACACGAAGAACCUUACCUAGGCUUGACAUUGAGAGAAUCCGCUAGAAAUAGUGGAGUGUCUAGCUUGCUAGACCUUGAAAACAGGUGCUGCACGGCUGUCGUCAGCUCGUGUCGUGAGAUGUUGGGUUAAGUCCCGCAACGAGCGCAACCCCCUUUCUUAGUUGCUAACAGGUCAUGCUGAGAACUCUAAGGAUACUGCCUCCGUAAGGAGGAGGAAGGUGGGGACGACGUCAAGUCAUCAUGGCCCUUACGCCUAGGGCUACACACGUGCUACAAUGGGGUGCACAAAGAGAAGCAAUACUGCGAAGUGGAGCCAAUCUUCAAAACAUCUCUCAGUUCGGAUUGUAGGCUGCAACUCGCCUGCAUGAAGCUGGAAUCGCUAGUAAUCGCAAAUCAGCCAUGUUGCGGUGAAUACGUUCCCGGGUCUUGUACUCACCGCCCGUCACACCAUGGGAGUUGUGUUUGCCUUAAGUCAGGAUGCUAAACUAGCUACUGCCCACGGCACACACAGCGACUGGGGUGAAGUCGUAACAAGGUAACCGUAGGUGAACCUGCGGUUG
rnacentral:rRNA from 1 species